UUAACUUAUUAUAUAGUACUCAGACGACACGUAAUUGAGAGUUGUGGUUCCCCGGCGGGCUCCCGAGGGGGCCGCGCCGGAGCAACAAAGGUAAAUAACACAGGGUGGGAGGUCUACCCGCGAGGGCAUGAUCUCUGUAAUGAUCCUUCCGCUGGUUCACCAACGGAAA
rnacentral:misc_RNA from 1 species